AAAUGAGUCAGACUUUUUAAAAAAGGGACACUUCUGCAGGAUGACUCUUUCUUCCUUCUUGAAUCCUCAGGAUUCCAUCUGGAGAAAGAAGAAAAGAAAAAAGCAAAGUCAGGAAGACCUGAAGCCUUUGCCCUGGUACCUCAGUAAAGGAGCAGCCUCAUCUUCAGGCAUGGUUCUGUACCUGGUCUCUGGUCAAAGAGUUAGACAUCCAAUGAUGUGACAAUAGCAAACCAUCCAGCCUCUCGCUCUUGGCUUUCAUGCAUGUUAAUUUUCUUCCCUUAGAAAGACUUAGCCCUGAAGGUCUAAAGCUUAACAUUUCACUUCUAAUUGAUUAACUAUUAAUACAUACACUUUGCCUUUUGUGAAU
rnacentral:lncRNA from 1 species